rnacentral:misc_RNA from 1 species
GAUGAAGAACGCAGCGAAAUGCGAUAAGUAAUGUGAAUUGCAGAAUUCAGUGAAUCAUCGAAUCUUUGAACGCGCAUUGCGCCCGCCAGUAUUCUGGCGGGCAUGCCUGUCUGAGCGUCAUUUCAACCCUCAUGCCCCUAGGGCGUGGUGUUGGGGAUCGGCCAAAGCCCGCGAGGGACGGCCGGCCCCUAAAUCUAGUGGCGGACCCGUCGUGGCCUCCUCUGCGAAGUAGUGAUAUUCCGCAUCGGAGAGCGACGAGCCCCUGCCGUUAAACCCCCAACUUUCCAAGGUUGACCUCAGAUCAGGUAGGAAUACCCGCUGAACUUAAGCAUAUCAAUAAGCGGAGGA